rnacentral:rRNA from 1 species
ACGUAGGGGGCAAGCGUUAUCCGGAUUUACUGGGUGUAAAGGGAGCGUAGACGGCACGGCAAGCCAGAUGUGAAAGCCCGGGGCUCAACCCCGGGACUGCAUUUGGAACUGCUGAGCUAGAGUGUCGGAGAGGCAAGCGGAAUUCCUAGUGUAGCGGUGAAAUGCGUAGAUAUUAGGAGGAACACCAGUGGCGAAGGCGGCUUGCUGGACGAUGACUGACGUUGAGGCUCGAAAGCGUGGGGAGCAAACAG